rnacentral:rRNA from 1 species
AGGACGAACGCUGGCGGCGUGCCUAACACAUGCAAGUCGAGCGAGGAGAUUCCUUCGGGAUGAUCCUAGCGGCGGACGGGUGAGUAACACGUGGGCAACCUGCCUCAUAGAGAGGAAUAGCCUUCCGAAAGGGAGAUUAAUACCUCAUAACAUUGCAGUUUCGCAUGGAACAGCAAUUAAAGGAGUAAUCCGCUAUGAGAUGGGGCCCGCGGCGCAUUAGCUAGUUGGUGAGGUAACGGCUCACCAAGGCGACGAUGCGUAGCCGACCUGAGAGGGUGAUCGGCCACAUUGGGACUGAGACACGGCCCAGACUCCUACGGGAGGCAGCAGUGGGGAAUAUUGCACAAUGGGGGAAACCCUGAUGCAAGCAACGCCGCGUGAGUGAUGACGGCCUUCGGGUUGUAAAGCUCUGUCUUCAGGGACGAUAAUGACGGUACCUGAGGAGGAAGCCACGGCUAACUACGUGCCAGCAGCCGC